rnacentral:tRNA from 1 species
GGAGGGGUGGCCGAGCGGUUGAAGGCAGCGGUCUUGAAAACCGCCGAUGGGAAACCAUCCGAGAGUUCGAAUCUCUCCUCCUCCGCCA